AUGAUUAUGGCGGAAUGGUAGACGCGAUUAGUUUAGGUCUAAUUUACUAAGGGUUCAAAUCCCUUUAAUCAUA
rnacentral:tRNA from 2 species